UACAGAGGUCCCAAGCGUUGUUCGGAUUCACUGGGCGUAAAGGGUGCGUAGGUGGCUGGGUAAGUUUGAUGUGAAAUCUCCGGGCUCAACCCGGAAAAUGCAUUGAAUACUAUCCAGCUCGAGGUUUGGAGGGGGGACUGGAAUUCUUGGUGUAGCAGUGAAAUGCGUAGAUAUCAAGAGGAACACCAGUGGCGAAGGCGAGUCCCUGGACAAAUCCUGACACUGAGGCACGAAAGCUAGGGGAGCAAACAGG
rnacentral:rRNA from 2 species